rnacentral:rRNA from 1 species
GACGAACGCUGGCGGCGUGCUUAACACAUGCAAGUCGAACGGAAAGGCCCUGCUUUUGUUGCGUGCUCGAGUGACGAACGAGUGAGUCACACGUAAGUUACCUGCCCCUGCCUGUGGGCUACAUUCAGGAAAGUGGGGUUCAUACCGGAUAGGCGCUCCUGAUGCUGGGUGGGGGUUGGCUAGUUUCGGCGGUUGGGGAUGGACUCGCGGUUUAUCUGCUUGUUGGUGGGGUAUUGGCUUACCAAGGCUUUGACGGGUAGCCGGCCUGAGGGGGGGACCGGCCACAUGGGGACGGAGAUACGGCCCGGACUCCUACGGGGGGCAGCAGGGGGGAAUAUUGCACAAGGGGCGGAAGCCGGAUGCAGCAACGCCGCGGGCGGGAUGACGGCCUUCGGGUGGUAAACCGCUUUCGCCGGGGACGAAGCGGGAGUGACGGUAAUGGGUAAAGAAGCACCGGCUAACUACGUG